UUCCAUCUUCGGGGCAGGGUGAAAUUCCCGACCGACGGUGAUGAACCCUUUGGUGUUCUAAGUCCGUGACCCGUUAAGGUUGGCAAGUAUGGUUGCUUCCUUCCUUAACGGUGGACCUGGUGAGAAUCCGGGACCGACAGUUACAGUCUGGAUGGGAGAAGAUGUCG
rnacentral:ncRNA from 2 species